AAUUAUGCCUGAAUAUGUUUUAUUUAUUAUAGUCUAUGUGUGAUUUUGUAUUUGAAAGUAGAUGCUUGAUUCUACCACAAUUAAAAAAAGGAUAUGCUUGGAUUUGUCUGUAGUAUGUGGGUGUGGAGGAGUUCAUUUGAACACGGGCAUUUUUGUGUGUCCAGGACGUAUCAACAGCCUCCUUAGAGGUGUCAUAUGUGCAGGGAAUACUGAAGAGAGUGCAUUAGUCUACAUGUCUCUCUAUAUAUUUUUUCUUUUUGUGUGUGUCUGGUUUUCCUAGAUUUCUCUCUUGCAUGUUUGUGGGUAUGAGAGUCUGUUAGUAUUAAUAUGUGAAUGGGUGUGUGCUAUUUGUCUGGGGAGGAUGAUUUAGGCAAGGAUUUGAAAGUGUGCAUUUAGAAAUUGAGGGCAUCUCUGUGUUAUUAUGAGUGUAUGUGUGUUUGUGUGUGCAUUUUAGAGUGGUUGGUUAUCUGUGUGUAUUUGCAAGGAGAAGGGGAAUUCAGUGUGUUUCUGUGUUUGUGUGUUUGUUUGUGAAUGGUAUGUUUUGCAGAGGAGUGUACUUUUUAUGUUCGAAAGUUAGGCAAUCAUGUAAUUUAUCAUCCAAAUGGGGAUACAUUUGAGAAUGAAAUAUAUAUGUGUGUGAAAGGAUGUCUUUGAAUGUACUUUUAAAAAUGCAUUUAAUUUUGUGUGUGUUAUUGGUGUCAGGAAUUAAGAAAAAGAAGAGAAGUACAGGAGAUAUCAUUAAAUUAUAUAGUUCUCUCUUCGACUGUAGCCUUAUAACAGGGACAUUAAUAGAAUUAACAGGUGGAAUCUAAUUGUCUCCCUUGGAAUCUGGGAUGGCUGUCCUACUUAUUUGACCAACAGAAUUUGUCAGAAGGGACUUUCUGUAACUUCUGAAGCUGUCUCAUAAGAAGCCUUGCAGAUUCUGCUCAUGUCUCUUUCCUCUCUGGGAAACAAGUCGCGACUCAGGGAUAAGCCUGAGACACAUGGAGAGAACAUCCUGAUCAAUCUGGUCUUUGCUGCUACCCUGGUCAACAGCCUGAGCUGGAUACCUGGCUGACAAGUACCACCUUUUUCCUACACAGAUGACAACCCAGCCCAUGAGCACCAGGAAAAUUAAACAAAAAGCCGAAAGAAAAAAGAAAAGAAGAAGUCUGGGAGUGAAGUUAUAUGCUUAAAGGCAUGCAUCUAGCAAAUGGCAAAAAAAAUGGAUGAAGACACAAGACUGAUUGUCACUAAAAACCAUGUGGUAUGUUUGAGCAAG
rnacentral:lncRNA from 10 species